UACGUAGGGUGCGAGCGUUGUCCGGAAUUAUUGGGCGUAAAGAGCUCGUAGGCGGUCUGUCGCGUCUGCUGUGAAAUCCCGAGGCUCAACCUCGGGCUUGCAGUGGGUACGGGCAGGCUAGAGUGCGGUAGGGGAGAAUGGAACUCCUGGUGUAGCGGUGGAAUGCGCAGAUAUCAGGAAGAACACCGAUGGCGAAGGCAGUUCUCUGGGCCGAUACUGACGCUGAGGAGCGAAAGCGUGGGGAGCGAACAGG
rnacentral:rRNA from 1 species